rnacentral:rRNA from 1 species
AGUGAACGCUGGCGGUAGGCCUAACACAUGCAAGUCGAACGGCAGCACAGUAAGAUCUUGCUCUUACGGGUGGCGAGUGGCGGACGGGUGAGGAAUACAUCGGAAUCUACUUUUUCGUGGGGGAUAACGUAGGGAAACUUACGCUAAUACCUCAUACGACCUACGGGUGAAAGCAGGGGAUCUUCGGACCUUGCGCGAUUCAAUGAGCCGAUGUCGGAUUAGCUAGUUGGCGAGGUAAAGGCCCACCAAGGCGACGAUCCGUAGCUGGUCUGAGAGGAUGAUCAGCCACACUGGAACUGAGACACGGUCCAGACUCCUACGGGAGGCAGCAGUGGGGAAUAUUGGGCAAUGGGCGCAAGCCUGAUCCAGCCAUACCGCGUGGGUGAAGAAGGCCUUCGGGUUGUAAAGCCCUUUUGUUGGGAAAGAAAAGCAGCAGGUUAAUCCCCCGAUGUUCUGACGGUACCCAAAGAAUAAGCACCGGCUAACUUCGUG